CUCCAGUUCAUUAUCUGACAUCUCAGAAACUCCCUAGCCCCAGCUAUUAAACCCAGUGCUACCUUCCAGGCAACAGCCCCCUUGUGAUUUUCAGUGUUCUAGGUGCUGACAUCCAGACAUGAGACACCAGGCCCAGCUUCAAUUUUUGUACCUUAAAGCCUGUACCACCAGGCUUUAUCCUGUUUCAUCAUGAAAGUGUUCCGUCUGUCCAGCUCAAGCUGGUGCCACUGUCUUCACUGGGAAACAACAGAGAAAACCCCAAGGGCUGGCGAGAUGGCUUACGUGUUCAAGGUGCUUGCAGCCAAGCCGGAC
rnacentral:lncRNA from 1 species